CACGUAGAAGACUAGUGUUAUUCAUCUUUAUUAGGUUUAAAGGGUACCUAGACGGAAAAUCAAGCUAUAAUAAGUACUAAUUUUCUAGAGUUUUAUGAAAGAAGGGGUGAAUUCCAGAGGAAAGUUGAUAUUUUGUGAUACUGGAAGGACGGGUAACGGCGAAAGGCUACCUUUUAUGUAAAAACUGACGUUGAGGGACGAAGCCUUGGGUAACGAGAAGG
rnacentral:rRNA from 1 species